rfam:Ciona savignyi cont_46261, whole genome shotgun sequence.
GACUCCGUAGAGCAACGGUGGCGCGUCCGAUUCCAGAUCGGAAGGUUGUGUGUUCACAUCACGUCGGGGUCA